AUUGAACGCUGGCGGCACGCCUUACACAUGCAAGUCGAACGGCAGCAUGAUCUAGCUUGCUAGAUUGAUGGCGAGUGGCGAACGGGUGAGUAAUACAUCGGAACGUGCCCUGUAGUGGGGGAUAACUAGUCGAAAGAUUAGCUAAUACCGCAUACGACCUGAGGGUGAAAGUGGGGGACCGCAAGGCCUCAUGCUAUAGGAGCGGCCGAUGUCUGAUUAGCUAGUUGGUGGGGUAAAGGCCCACCAAGGCGACGAUCAGUAGCUGGUCUGAGAGGACGAUCAGCCACACUGGGACUGAGACACGGCCCAGACUCCUACGGGAGGCAGCAGUGGGGAAUUUUGGACAAUGGGGGCAACCCUGAUCCAGCAAUGCCGCGUGUGUGAAGAAGGCCUUCGGGUUGUAAAGCACUUUUGUCCGGAAAGAAAUCGCACUUACUAAUAUUAGGUGUGGAUGACGGUACCGGAAGAAUAAGGACCGGCUAACUACGUGCCAGCAGCCGCGGUAAUACGUAGGGUCCAAGCGUUAAUCGGAAUUACUGGGCGUAAAGCGUGCGCAGGCGGUUGUGCAAGACCGAUGUGAAAUCCCCGGGCUUAACCUGGGAAUUGCAUUGGUGACUGCACUGCUAGAGUGUGUCAGAGGGGGGUAGAAUUCCACGUGUAGCAGUGAAAUGCGUAGAGAUGUGGAGGAAUACCGAUGGCGAAGGCAGCCCCCGGGGAUACCCCUGACGCUCAUGCACGAUAGCGUGGGGAGCAAACAGGAUUAGAUACCCUGGUAGUCCACGCCCUAAACGAUGUCAACUAGUUGUUGGGGAUUCAUUUCCUUAGUAACGUAGCUAACGCGUGAAGUUGACCGCCUGGGGAGUACGGUCGCAAGAUUAAAACUCAAAGGAAUUGACGGGGACCCGCACAAGCGGUGGAUGAUGUGGAUUAAUUCGAUGCAACGCGAAAAACCUUACCUACCCUUGACAUGCCACUAACGAAGCAGAGAUGCAUUAGGUGCUCGAAAGAGAAAGCGGACACAGGUGCUGCAUGGCUGUCGUCAGCUCGUGUCGUGAGAUGUUGGGUUAAGUCCCGCAACGAGCGCAACCCUUGUCUCUAGUUGCUACGAAAGGGCACUCUAGAGAGACUGCCGGUGACAAACCGGAGGAAGGUGGGGAUGACGUCAAGUCCUCAUGGCCCUUAUGGGUAGGGCUUCACACGUCAUACAAUGGUGCAUACAGAGGGUUGCCAAGCCGCGAGGUGGAGCUAAUCCCAGAAAAUGCAUCGUAGUCCGGAUCGUAGUCUGCAACUCGACUACGUGAAGCUGGAAUCGCUAGUAAUCGCGGAUCAGCAUGCCGCGGUGAAUGCGUUCCCGGGUCU
rnacentral:rRNA from 1 species